rnacentral:rRNA from 1 species
AUUGAACGCUGGCGGCGUGCCUAACACAUGUAAGUCGAGCGGUAACAGGUGUAGCAAUACAUGCUGACGAGCGGCGAACGGGUGAGUAAUGCUUCGGAAUCUACCUUAUGGUGGGGAAUAACUAGCCGAAAGGUUAGCUAAUACCGCAUACGUCCUACGGGAGAAAGCAGGGGAUCGCAAGACCUUGCGCCAAAAGAUGAGCCGAAGUCGGAUUAGCUAGUUGGUAGGGUAACGGCCUACCAAGGCGACGAUCCGUAGCUGGUCUGAGAGGACGACCAGCCACACUGGGACUGAGACACGGCCCAGACUCCUACGGGAGGCAGCAGUGGGGAAUAUUGGACAAUGGGGGAAACCCUGAUCCAGCGACGCCGCGUGUGUGAAGAAGGCCUGCGGGUUGUAAAGCACUUUUAGUGGGGAUGAAAUGUGCAGGGUUAAUACCUCUGCACUUUGACCUAACCCACAGAAAAAGCACCGGCUAACUCUGUGCCAGCCGCCGCCGUAA